rnacentral:rRNA from 1 species
AUUGAACGCUGGCGGCAUGCUUUACACAUGCUAGUCGAACGGCAGCGCGGGCUUCGGCCUGGCGGCGAGUGGCGAACGGGUGAGUAAUGCAUCGGAACGUGCCCAGUAGUGGGGGAUAGCCCGGCGAAAGCCGGAUUAAUACCGCAUACGACCUGAGGGUGAAAGCGGGGGACCGAAAGGCCUCGCGCUAUUGGAGCGGCCGAUGUCGGAUUAGCUAGUUGGUGGGGUAAAGGCUUACCAAGGCGACGAUCCGUAGCUGGUCUGAGAGGACGACCAGCCACACUGGGACUGAGACACGGCCCAGACUCCUACGGGAGGCAGCAGUGGGGAAUUUUGGACAAUGGGGGCAACCCUGAUCCAGCCAUGCCGCGUGCGGGAAGAAGGCCUUCGGGUUGUAAACCGCUUUUGUUCGGGAAGAAAUCCUCUGGGCUAAUACCCCGGGGGGAUGACGGUACCGGAAGAAUAAGCACCGGCUAACUACGUG